rnacentral:rRNA from 1 species
UAAUACGGAGGGUGCAAGCGUUGUUCGGAAUUACUGGGCGUAAAGGGCGUGUAGGCGGUCCGCUAAGUCUGAUGUGAAAGCCCGAGGCUUACCCUCGGAAGUGCAUUGGAGACUGGCGGACUAGAGUCCCGGAGAGGAGGGUGGAAUUCCUGGUGUAGCGGUGAAAUGCGUAGAUAUCAGGAGGAACACCGGUGGCGAAGGCGGCCCUCUGGACGGUGACUGACGCUGAGACGCGAAAGCGUGGGGAGCAAACAGGAUUAGAUACCCUGGUAGUCCACGCUGUAAACGAUGAGCACUAGGUGUCGCGGGUAUUGACCCCUGCGGUGCCGACGCUAACGCAUUAAGUGCUCCGCCUGGGGAGUACGGUCGCAAGAUUAAA